AAACUUCUACAGCUCAACCUCCUCAGAACAAGAUCAUCACUGCACCUGCCACAACCUCACUUAGAAGCACAGAACCUGCCUUUCACUCACCAUGAAUAAUCCGAUCACAGUGAGAAGAUUUGAAAUACCACAGGGUGCAACAGUUUAUUAUCACGGAAGAAUUAAAGAUUUAACGCUGCAGUUGCAUCCUGACACGCUCUUUGAACACCUGACAAAUGAUAACACCAGAUGCUCCAUGAUCUUCCUAACUCAUCAUCCAGAUAUUUGGAUAAAAACAUUGAGAGAUUUUUACCCAGAGUUUAACCAACAGCCAGGUGGGAGAAAUACUGAAAUGAUACGCUUGGGAAACCAAGUUGGAAAUAUUCGUCUGUUUCCCAAAUCUGGGAAGUUUUUAAUUUUGAGAGACUCUAAUUUUGAUGUAUUUAUAAGAGAUUUUCAAACAUUGAGAGCGAAUGUAGAGAAUAUUCGUUUAAUUAGAGGAACUUUACAAGAAAUUCCAGACCCUGCAUUACAGAAGCAAAGAGAUAAUGUUACAAAAAACGCCCAGAAAGCAGCCAACGCCAGACAAAAAAGAAGAAAAAAACACACGAUAAAAAGAAGAAACGGAAGAAGAAACAGAAAAAACAGAAGGAGAAAGAGAAGAUGAAGAUAUUAGCAACAUUAAUCCCACGGUCUCCUCAGCUCUUGGCAACUUUGCAUUGUUUGUGUUUGUGUGUGUGUGUUAGGCCUGUAACAAUAACAGAUUUUGCUUGACGAUUAAUUGACCAAGAAAUUAUUCUGAUAAGCAACAAUAUUGACAACUAAUAUAAUGAUAAUGGAAUAAAAAUGCAAAUACACCCUUUCAAAUAAACUUUAUUGUCUAAAAGAGCAUUUAACACAGUAACUGCAAGACAACCAAAAUUAAC